rnacentral:rRNA from 1 species
UACGUAGGUGGCAAGCGUUGUCCGGAAUUACUGGGCGUAAAGCGUGCGCAGGCGGUUUUGCAAGACAGAUGUGAAAUCCCCGGGCUUAACCUGGGAACUGCAUUUGUGACUGCAAGGCUAGAGUGUGUCAGAGGGAGGUGGAAUUCCGCGUGUAGCAGUGAAAUGCGUAGAGAUGCGGAGGAACACCGAUGGCGAAGGCAGCCUCCUGGGAUAACACUGACGCUCAUGCACGAAAGCGUGGGGAGCAAACAGG